rnacentral:rRNA from 1 species
UACGUAGGCAGCGAGCGUUGUUCGGAGUUACUGGGCGUAAAGGGUGUGUAGGCGGUUGUUUUAAGUUUGGUGUGAAAUCUCCCGGCUCAACUGGGAGGGUGCGCCGAAUACUGAAUGACUCGAGUGUGGGAGAGGUGAGUGGAAUUCCUGGUGUAGCGGUGAAAUGCGUAGAUAUCAGGAGGAACACCGGUGGUGUAGACGGCUCACUGGACCAUAACUGACGCUGAGACACGAAAGCGUGGGUAGCAAACAGG